rnacentral:misc_RNA from 1 species
CUCGCACGCGACAAGCGCACGCAACAAGGCUGCGUGCACAUCUUUUCAUCCUUUUACUGUCCUAUGGCACAUAUCUGCGAAGACCUCCCUUAGGCAAUACGCCCCUCCUCCCUCUCUCUCUUCGAUCGACCGUGAAAGGCUGAAGCAAGCGGAAGACAGAGACGCAUAUAUACGAGAAAGAACGUCUGUCGCUCCCCGGCGUCGACGAGAAGAGCACCCCCUCCCUCCACCUUCGUUGUUCUCCUCUGCGUCUUUAGCAUUCUUUUUGCCCGCCUCCCCCCCCCUGCCCCGUCCUCACACUGCCAAGAUGUUUCCCGGUAUGCAAGGCCCUCAGACGCUGCCGGAUCAGGAGGCGUACCCGAUGUUCUGGCGCAAUCUUAACCGCUUCAUAGCCAUCACGACGGCCACCGUAGCGGUCGCUGUCGCCGUUCGCUACUGCGAGCAGCGCACGCACUUGAUGCUGGUGUCGAGCCUGUGAGACGUGUUAAACCGAAAAACGGCUAAUAAUUCUCUUUCGGCAUCAGCACGGUCUCGCGCCGUGUGACUCAGGCCUCGUGUGCCUUUUUUUCACCGGUGCAGGGUGCCCAUUCAGCGGUCGCUCAGGCGGGUCCACGGUUUCGCUUGUCGGGUCGACUUCUGCGCCCCGCCUCUCUCGAUUUUGUAAACCACACUCCCCCCUCCCCCUCCCACCGCCACCACCGCUGUCUCGUCCUCAGGGAAGUUUUACACGGCGUUUCUUCUCUCUUGUUCGGGAGAAGUGGGUGUAGGGAGGGUUUGCGAUGCCGGCGCAGCGUGUGUGCGCGCGCGUGUGUGUCUGUUUCUCUUCAAGUCCCUCACUCUGUGCAGGACUUUGUGCGUGAUUCGCCUCUGAAAAGAAGUUCGCGAGAGACGUCCUUCCAUGAUAACAGCCGUAAAUGGAGGUAAAGCGCGUGCGGCCAAAGCACACAGCCGCGCAGCGGACUGACGCUCGCGGACACACGUCAGUCAAGUAGUGCGCGUACUCGCCAAACGAGGGUUUGCUCCGUCGCCUCGCGAACGCCACGCCGCCGUCCCUCGGGACUUGGUGAUAUCGCUGCACGAGCACUGUGCACGCUGAAGCGGUUCGAGAGAGGAUCGUCGAAACGGCGAUACGAGGCGAAAGCGGGAAACGAUCGAGCCCGGCUGUUUUAGUACAGCUCUUGCUUGCAUCUAGCGCGAAACGAGUCUCUGUUGUCCGCUCUCGUCUUUUAGUUGCCGGGGCAGACUGCAGUCCGGCCACUGUUUUGCCCAUCCUCCUCAUCCUCCUCGCAAUGCUCACUCUCUCGUCUUCGCUUCUUUCGCUCCCUACUGCUGUUGUGUCGGCGGCAUGGGCUCACUCCAACCUCAUCAUCCCCCCUCCCUCCCGUGAUGCGGGUUGCGUUGUUUUGCCUUUCCUUGCACUCAUUAUCUUUCGAAG